rnacentral:rRNA from 1 species
CCUCCUCCCUUCCUUCGUUUCCUUUAUAUGAUUUGGCUAGCUCUCCCGUUGUGCAUUGGAGGCUAGGCUAUGAAUUGUGCCCUCGGGUAGGAAGGUAGCUGGGCGGAGGAAAACGGUGCCGGGCGCGCGUGGCCAGUGUGUACCGACUCUGGGGGGCGCGGGGCGGCGGUGACUCCGGAGGCGGCGGGCAAGGCGACGGGCUGUGCGGCGGAGCCGGCCUAAGCAGCGGAAGCUGCGGGCCGCUCCUGAUGGUGUGCGGGUGCGGGAGCGACCUGCUCCGCGCGCUUCUUUGCGGUGGCACCGGCGUUCUUUGGUUGCCGUUGCCCUCACGCCGAUCGUUCUCGGGCCGGGAGAGCGGGCACGCGGAGGGGAGCGGCGUGGCGAACGACGGCGGGUUGAGGGGGUGGCCGUUGCAGCUGCUGCCACGGCGGCGGCCCGUACGCGGCCACGGCCCGGCGGCGGGCGUCGAGGCCGAACGCGGGCCGGAGCAGGCCUGCGGCAGCGUUCCCAGGCAGCGGUUCAGAGGGAGCGGUAGCGGGAGAAGCAGCGACUGCGGCGGUAGCGGAGAUUGGGGCCCAGGGUGUUAGUGUUGGUUGUUGUUCUCGCGGGUCUCGUGCGGUUUCGCGUGCCUCCGUACCUUCGGCGGCCGGUGCCCCUAGCGCCACGUCAAGCUGGGACAGCUCCUUCGGCAGUGCAGCGGCGACGUUGAGCCGUUCGGGGCUUAGCUGGCGGUAGCGCGGUGAUGCUACUGCCGUCGUCUCUUGCCUCCGCGCGGGUUGUGCCACGGAGCGCUGCACCGCCGCCACCGGCGCCAGCCCCUCUCCUCCGGUGACAGCCACCGCGACGCCGACCGGUGCCGCCACGAGUCGGACCGCAGGAAGCGCCACUACCGGUCGCGGGCCUGCAGGCCGACCCUACCGCUAGUGAAGCUAGCGAUGCUAGUCAUGUCCAUGCGGGACCGCCACUUGCACUAGCAGACACGGAUGAGUUAGCACGUUAGCGACCCACUCUAGGCGGCAGACCAGCGCCGCUCCAAAUAAAUGUCCUCGUACAGUUCGAUGAUGAAGUCGGACAAGGAACUAGUCCAGGACCGCAUAGAGGAGUACAGGCGCAGCAGCCGACGACGCAGCGCGUUGCUAGACACCCACAGCUCCAAGUCGGUCCUACGGAAGUUGUCCUUCUAGUGGUCGAGCCACACCGACAGGAAGGAACGGAAGUAUCGCGAGCGGCGUUCGAGCGAGUAGAGGUGCCGAUUAGAGAAGUCGUACCAGAUUAAUCAUCUAUGCCAAGUAGGGAAAGGGAGACCCCUACUCAUUGACGGCCGCAAGAAGUACAUUUAAAACGUAAAAUACAACGGUCUUUAGUAUGCUAGCUGACUAUGGCAUGUAACAAGAGCCCGGACUGGAGACUGAGCAGUCUUUAGGGAACAUUUCUCCAAGUAUAUCACGAGAUUAAUUCGAAAAGGUAC